rnacentral:rRNA from 1 species
AUUGAACGCUGGCGGCAGGCCUAACACAUGCAAGUCGAACGAGUGGCGGACGGGUGAGUAAUGUCUGGGAAACUGCCCGAUGGAGGGGGAUAACUACUGGAAACGGUAGCUAAUACCGCAUACCAUCGGAUGUGCCCAGACGGGAUUAGCUAGUAGGUGGGGUAAUGGCUCACCUAGGCGACGAUCCCUAGCUGGUCUGAGAGGCUGACCAGCCACACUGGAACUGAGACACGGUCCAGACUCCUACGGGAGGCAGCAGUGGGGAAUAUUGCACAAUGGGCGAAAGCCUGAUGCAGCCAUGCCGCGUGUAUGAAGAAGGCCUUCGGGUUGUAAAGUACUGUUAUCGAGGAGGCGUUACUCACAGAAGAAGCACCGGCUAACUCCGUGCCAGCAGCCGCGGUAAUAC